CCCAGACUCCUACGGGAGGCAGCAGUGGGGAAUAUUGGGCAAUGGGCGCAAGCCUGACCCAGCAACGCCGCGUGAAGGAAGAAGGCUUUCGGGUUGUAAACUUCUUUUAUUCGGGACGAAGAAAGUGACGGUACCGAAUGAAUAAGCCACGGCUAACUACGUGCCAGCAGCCGCGGUAAUACGUAGGUGGCAAGCGUUAUCCGGAUUUAUUGGGUGUAAAGGGCGUGUAGGCGGGACUGCAAGUCAGAUGUGAAAAUUAUGGGCUCAACCCAUAACCUGCAUUUGAAACUGUAGUUCUUGAGUGAUGGAGAGGCAGGCGGAAUUCCGUGUGUAGCGGUGAAAUGCAUAGAUAUCACGCAGAACUCCGAUUGCGAAGGCAGCAUACCGGCGCCCAACUGACGCUGAAGCACGAAAGCGUGGGUAUCGAACAGGAUUAGAUACCCUUGUAA
rnacentral:rRNA from 1 species